CUCGACUUGGUCUGUUCUGAUCGGUUUCCCAGAGGAGUUUGUUGGGCGAGAUGACCUGCGGCGACCUCCCCAGCUCGCCGGCGCCGGAGGUGGCGGCCCCGCUGGAGGACGAGAACCUCCUCCCGGAGAUCCUCGUCCGGCUAGCCCCGCUGCCGUCCGCCCUCCCUCGCGCCUCUCUCGUCUGCAAAAGCUGGCGCCGCCUCGUCACCGACCGCCGCUUCGUCCGCCGCUUCCGCGCGCACCACCUCCGCAGCCCACCUCCCCUGAUCGGCUUCUUCGAGGAGGUGAGCCGCAAACCCGACGCCCCGAACCCCGCCCCGGACGCCCCCGAAGUCCUCUCCUUCACCCCUAUCCUGGAUCACCCCGACCGCGUCCCGGUCGAGCGCUUCUCCCUGCGCCUCCACGACGGCAGCGGCCGCUCCAACAUCGGCUGCCGCGACGGCCUCGUGCUCCUCAUCGACCCGGCGGGCUUCGACAUCGAGGUCCUCGUGUGGGACCCCGUCACGGGCGACCAGCACCGCUUCCUCAUCCCCUGGGUGAUCGACGACGGCCAGGGCACCGAGAUCUUAAACGGGGCGGUCCUUCGCACCGCCGGAAUCCUCGACGAUCGCCCCUUCCGGUUCCAGGCGGUGUUGACCGGCGUCGACAGGCAGAACAAGCGGCUGUUCGCCUGCGUUUACUCGUCCGAGACCGGCAAAUGGGGCGAUCCAAUCUGGGUAUCCGCGGAUUUUACGAGCGGCGUAACCACCAUGAUUGAGAUGCGUGUUUCCAGUACCCUGGUCGGGAAUUCCCUCUACUGGUCCCUUUGCUCAAUUGCUUGGGAGGUAGCUGCCAUCCUUCAAUUUGAUUUGGAUACACAACACCUGGCUGUCAUACACUUACCCUGCUUGGGUAAGUGUAGUAGGAAUGGCAGCCGGACCUUCCGGGCUAUGCCCGUGGACGGUGGUGAGCUUGGCGUCCUUGAGCUGUUAGACGCCAACCUCCAUUUGUGGAAAAGGAAGAUCGACCGUGAUGGUGUUGUUUCAUGGGUGCUGGGGAAGACUAUUGGAUUGGAGGAACUUCUUUAUAUAGAUAAAAGGAAAAUGGGCCCAAUGAUGCUCGGGUAUUGCGAGGACAAUAAUGUGGUGUUUAUAUGGACAUAUCACGGCAUUUUCAUGGUCCAGCUUGAGUCACUGGAAGUGUACAAGCCUCCCAUACAGACAUUUUACUGUUUGGUUCAUCCAUUCACAAGUGUCUACACUGCAGACAUGGGCAUUGGUGGUGAACCUGAUGAAGCCAAAUUUCUGAGCAAUGCAAUGCAUAAGGUGACUUUAUAACAUUGGUUUACAGGUAUCUAGAGUUCUCGUCCGGUUUCUGAUUUUGUUGCCGGCUUGUAAUGAUGAAGUUGAUGUUUAUGCUUUUAAGUAUCUAGAGCUCUUAUUCGGGUUGCUGGGCAGCGGAAUGGCUUACCGGUGCGGUGCAGGCUCCGUCCAUCUUCUAGGCAGCAAGCAUGUUCUGUCAACUGCGAUGUAGACUUGUAGGAUAGAUUUAUUUAUUUGUCCAGUUUGGUAACUUCCUUGCGUACCUGAAUAAUUGUAGGACAAGCAGCAACUUGCUUGGCCUCAUGAAUAAGGCAGUGGCAUAGGCUUUGCCUCUGUCAGCUCAUUGCCGCCUCCAGUUUCAUUCUCUCUGUGUCUUUCA